rnacentral:rRNA from 1 species
AUUGACCUCAAUCAGGAGC